rnacentral:piRNA from 1 species
UGAACAGUUUUCAAAAGUGGCGGCCCAUUC